rnacentral:rRNA from 1 species
CCUACGGUGGGCUGCAGUGGGGGAUAUUGCUCAAUGGGGGGAACCCUGAUGCAGCAACGCCGCGUGGGGGAUGAAGGGUUUAGGAGUGUAAACUCCUUUUGUCAGGGAAGAUAAUGACGGUAUCUCACGAAGAAGCACCGGCUAACUCCGUGCCAGCAGCCGCGGUAAUACGGAGGGGGCAAGCGUUACCCGGAUUUACUGGGUGUAAGGAGUGCGCCGUCGGCAUUGCAAGCCAGAUGUGAAAUCCCGUGGCGCAACUCCGGGACUGCAUUUGGAACUGUAUGGCUGGAGUGUGGGAGAGGUAGGCGGAAUUCUUGGUGUAGGGGUGAAAUGCGUAGAUAUUAAGAGGAAUACUGGUUGCGAAGGCGACCUGCUGGACCAUGACUGACGCUGAGGCCCGAAGGCGUGGGGAGCAAACAGGAUUAGAUACCCUAGUAGUC